UACGAAGGGGGCUAGCGUUGUUCGGAAUUACUGGGCGUAAAGGGCGCGUAGGCGGUGCCUCAAGUCAGGCGUGAAAGCCCCGGGCUCAACCUGGGAACCGCGCUUGAGACUGGAGUACUAGAGUUCGGGAGAGGAUGGUGGAAUUCCCAGUGUAGAGGUGAAAUUCGUAGAUAUUGGGAAGAACACCGAUGGCGAAGGCAGCCAUCUGGACCGACACUGACGCUGAGGCGCGAAAGCUAGGGGAGCGAACGGG
rnacentral:rRNA from 1 species